GUACACCUACAGUUCAUUGGAUGGUAGUUUUGGAACUGGGAGAGACCUGGGAGAUAGAUCAUCUACUCAUAUUCUGCCUUUUUAUGUGUGAGCUACCUAAGGACCAGGAAGGUUAAGUGGCAGAGCUGGGAUUCCAAAUGAAGUCCUCUGGAUCCAAAUCCAGUGUUCUUGCCCCUGGACCACACCGUCUCCCAUACCCAGGUCCAGCUUUUGAAUAUCUCAGAUCUUCCAAUGAUGUUGCAUGGCUGUAGUUCAUGGAAUUCUACAAUCUCUGAAAACCUGAUUUGUAUCACCCAAGUGGAAAUGGAGAAGGAUAUGAAUUGGAAAGACCUCCAUGAACUGAUGCAGAGUGAAAUAAGCAGAACCAGGAGAAUAUUAUACACAGUAACUGAAACAUUGUGGGAUGAUCAAAUGUAAUAGACUUUGCUACUAAUAGCAAUGCAAUGAUCCAGGACAAUUCUAAAAGACUUAUGAGAAAGAAACUAUCUACAUCUAGAGAAAGAACUGUGGGAGAAGAAAAGCAGAAGAAAAUAUAUGAUUCAUCACUUGGUUAUACAGUUGAUGUCUCUUUUGAUCAGAUUAUACAGAUGCUUUUCAGCCUGUGACACAGAGUGGUACGCACUUUUAGACCAGAGGAUAGAUAAUAAAGUCAAUACAAUUAUGCAAAUAGGAGCCCAAGGAGACACUAAGUCCUUUUUCGCUCCUGAUCUUGGUGCUGGCCAAAUGCUUAUGUUUCAGAAAUAA
rnacentral:lncRNA from 1 species